UCCAACAAAAAAACAAUUAGUGGAGGAAUUUCUGCUGAUGCUACCAAAAAGUCUGAAGCAAUAUUCUUCCAUCCCAGAUGAAGAAGAUACCUACACACCAACCUCCUUGUUUGAGUCACUUAGAAGCAGAAAUAGUUUUUCUUUGAAGACCAACCCUCUCCCACUGAACUUUAUGUACUUCAAGUGGAGGUGACUCGUCCUACAAUUCUCCUCCACCAACUCAGCCACACCACCUCUUCAGCAGUAGACAUGACUCGAUUAAAGCAAAUCAUUGUAAGAUUCAGGCAUUUUAUUUGAACUAUUGAUAAUCAUGUUAUCUUUCCUAUUGAAUGUGAACUUGAGAAGAAGUUAAAAGUAGAGCAACAACCAGAUUAUGCCCAUUAAGGGUGUGCUGAUGAAGUCAACAUGGAACAAAACAAAAGCAAAAGAUGUCGCUCACUCUGUGUUGAGUACUGUGAGAGAUACAGUGUGCUUUCGAAAUCAUGUAACUGAAGAAAACAAGGACAAGAACCCUGAGCAAUGGCCAGCAAUGGAGAAUGGAAAGAACUUAACAAGUGGUCUUGGAAGAGAUAAAGUCUUUUAAGGUGUCCACUAUGAAGCUAAUGUUAGGGAAGGAGCUGUGAAGUUUGCCCAAUGCCUGCCAUCCACCUGGGCUCCAGGUCCACAUAUCCUGCCAAGCAUGCAAUGCCCUGCAUUCACCACCUCCAUGCAGCUCCCUAUUCUGAUGUUCUCUGUCUGCUGCACUUCUGGCUUUGGCAGUUACUGCAGGGUGUACAUGUCAGCCUCCACAAUGGGACAGAGAACGGCACUAGCCUACUUUCACAUCUGCUCUGAUAUACAGAAAGUUGGUGCUAAAAGAAUGU